UUCGGUGGGGAUUAGUGGCGAACGGGUGAGUAACMCGUGGGCAAUCUGCCCUUCACUCUGGGACAAGCCCUGGAAACGGGGUCUAAUACCGGAUACCACUACCGCAGGCAUCUGUGGUGGUUGAAAGCUCCGGCGGUGAAGGAUGAGCCCGCGGCCUAUCAGCUUGUUGGUGAGGUAAUGGCUCACCAAGGCGACGACGGGUAGCCGGCCUGAGAGGGCGACCGGCCACACUGGGACUGAGACACGGCCCAGACUCCUACGGGAGGCAGCAGUGGGGAAUAUUGCACAAUGGGCGAAAGCCUGAUGCAGCGACGCCGCGUGAGGGAUGACGGCCUUCGGGUUGUAAACCUCUUUCAGCAGGGAAGAAGCGAAAGUGACGGUACCUGCAGAAGAAGCGCCGGCUAACUACGUGCCAGCAGCCGCGGUAAUACGUAGGGCGCAAGCGUUGUCCGGAAUUAUUGGGCGUAAAGAGCUCGUAGGCGGCUUGUCACGUCGGGUGUGAAAGCCCGGGGCUUAACCCCGGGUCUGCAUUCGAUACGGGCUAGCUAGAGUGUGGUAGGGGAGAUCGGAAUUCCUGGUGUAGCGGUGAAAUGCGCAGAUAUCAGGAGGAACACCGGUGGCGAAGGCGGAUCUCUGGGCCAUUACUGACGCUGAGGAGCGAAAGCGUGGGGAGCGAACAGGAUUAGAUACCCUGGUAGUCCACGCCGUAAACGGUGGGAACUAGGUGUUGGCGACAUUCCACGUCGUCGGUGCCGCAGCUAACGCAUUAAGUUCCCCGCCUGGGGGAGUACGGCGCAAGGCUAAACUCAAGGAAUUGA
rnacentral:rRNA from 1 species